rnacentral:rRNA from 1 species
CCCUUAGAUGUUCUGGGCUGCACGCGCGCUACACUGAAGCGUUCAAAGAGUAUUUCACCUUGCCCGGGAGGGUUGGGUAAUCUUUUUAAAACGCUUCGUGAUGGGGAUAGAUUAUUGCAAUUAUUAAUCUUCAACGAGGAAUUCCUAGUAAGCGCGAGUCAUCAGCUCGCGCUGAUUACGUCCCUGCCCUUUGUACACACCGCCCGUCGCUCCUACCGAUUGAAUGAUUUAGUGAGGACUUCGGACUGGGACCGAUGCGGCUUUCGGGCUGCGUCGGUAUUCUGGAAAGAUGUCCAAACUGUAUCAUUUAGAGGAAGUAAAAGUCGUANCA